GAACGCACAUUGCGCCCUUCGGUAUUCCGUUGGGCAUGCCUGUUCGAGCGUCAUUAGAAACUUCAAGCUCAGCUUGGUGUUGGGUGCUUGUCCGCCGCCCGCGGCGGACUCACCUCAAAUGCAUUGGCGGCCGGUAUGUUGGCUACAGCGCAGUACAACGCGUCUGGCGUCUUGAUACACUGGUCCUCCAGAAGCCCCUUCUUUGACUUGACCUCGGAUCAGGUAGGGAUACCCGCUGAACUUAAG
rnacentral:misc_RNA from 1 species